GGAGAGAUGGCUCAGUGGUUAAGAGCACUGACUGCUCUUCCAGAGGUCCUGAGUUCGAUUCCCAGCAACCACA
rnacentral:tRNA from 1 species